GAUGAACGCUGGCGGCGUGCUUAACACAUGCAAGUCGAACGAUGAAGCCCAGCUUGCUGGGUGGAUUAGUGGCGAACGGGUGAGUAACACGUGAGUAACCUGCCCUUAACUCUGGGAUAAGCCUGGGAAACUGGGUCUAAUACCGGAUAGGAGCGUCCACCGCAUGGUGGGUGUUGGAAAGAUUUAUCGGUUUUGGUUGGACUCGCGGCCUAUCAGCUUGUUGGUGAGGUAAUGGCUCACCAAGGCGACGACGGGUAGCCGGCCUGAGAGGGUGACCGGCCACACUGGGACUGAGACACGGCCCAGACUCCUACGGGAGGCAGCAGUGGGGAAUAUUGCACAAUGGGCGCAAGCCUGAUGCAGCGACGCCGCGUGAGGGAUGACGGCCUUCGGGUUGUAAACCUCUUUCAGUAGGGAAGAAGCGAAAGUGACGGUACCUGCAGAAGAAGCACCGGCUAACUACGUG
rnacentral:rRNA from 1 species